rnacentral:sRNA from 1 species
UUGACCUUUUCUGUUUUUAAUUCACUCACAGAGGGUGGGACAGGAGGCGAGUGAAUGAAAAGGCCAA